CAGACAGCGGACAUCUUCAAGAUCCCCUAAAACCAGCAUAAAACCACCACGGACAGCAUAAAACCAGCACACUGCCAAAACUCAAAUCCAAGCAAAAACUCCCCCUGGAGGCAGAAGAAGAAGCAGAAGAAGAAGAAGAAGAAGAAGAAGAAGAAGGAG